GUGCUUGCUUCGGCAGCACUUAUACUAAAAGUGGAACCAUACAGAGAAGAUUAGCAUGGCCCCUGAGCAAGGAUGGCAUUCAAAUUCGUGGUAGAUGUCCUGGGGAUUU
rnacentral:snRNA from 1 species